rnacentral:rRNA from 1 species
AAAUGACGGUACCUGACUAAGAAGCACCGGCUAAAUACGUGCCAGCAGCCGCGGUAAUACGUAUGGUGCAAGCGUUAUCCGGAUUUACUGGGUGUAAAGGGAGCGUAGACGGCUGUGUAAGUCUGAAGUGAAAGCCCGGGGCUCAACCCCGGGACUGCUUUGGAAACUAUGCAGCUAGAGUGUCGGAGAGGUAAGUGGAAUUCCCAGUGUAGCGGUGAAAUGCGUAGAUAUUGGGAGGAACACCAGUGGCGAAGGCGGCUUACUGGACGAUGACUGACGUUGAGGCUCGAAAGCGUGGGGAGCAAACAGGAUUAGAUACCCUGGUAGUCCACGCCGUAAACGAUGACUACUAGGUGUCGGGGAGCAAAGCUCUUCGGUGCCGCAGCAAACGCAAUAAGUAGUCCACCUGGGGAGUACGUUCGCAAGAAUGAAACUCAAA